rnacentral:rRNA from 1 species
AUACGUAGGGGGCGAGCGUUGUCCGGAAUGAUUGGGCGUAAAGGGCGCGUAGGCGGCCCGGUAAGUCUGGAGUGAAAGUCCUGUUUUUAAGAUGGGAAUUGCUUUGGAUACUGUCGGGCUUGAGUGCAGGAGAGGUAAGUGGAAUUCCCAGUGUAGCGGUGAAAUGCGUAGAGAUUGGGAGGAACACCAGUGGCGAAGGCGACUUACUGGACUGUAACUGACGCUGAGGCGCGAAAGUGUGGGGAGCAAACAGGAUUAGAUACCCUGGUAGUCCACACUGUAAACGAUGAAUGCUAGGUGUAGGGGGUAUCGACCCCUUCUGCGCCGCAGUCAACACAAUAAGCAUUCCGCCUGGGGAGUACGGCCGCAAGGUUGAAACUCAAAUGAAUUGACGGGG